rnacentral:misc_RNA from 1 species
UUGAAGCUAUUGAUAGAAAGCAAUAUGGACAUUUCUUUUUACUGUAAUGGCACAGUUUUAUUACAAUAGUGGUCACCGUAGGCUAUAUCUUCCUCUUGCAGUUCUUACAGCUCGAAGAAUUCUCCUUUUAUUUUUAAUAGGUAAACUCUUUUUGUCAUCAUCCAAUUUUUGCCUCUUAGUUUCUUGAUCUUCAACUUUUCCAUUUGCUUCAUCCUUGGCUUGACUAUUUUUCCGUUUAAGGAACUUAACAAGUCCAUCAAGAGCAAUAUCAACAUCUUCAGUCUUCAUAAGCUCCUCUGCCACCUCUGCCGGCGUGACGUUGGUAUUCUCAAUUAGGCCUUCAAUUUCUCCAUAGAGACGGUGAUACUUACAUUGAAUGCCAAGAUAAUUAGAGGCUAGAAGAUUGAACCCUUGAGUGGUACAGUAAGACAGUUUAAUAUGCACAUCCAUUCUACCUGGACGCAGCAGAGCAGGGUCAAGCCGAUCCUUAUGAUUGGUGGUGAAGAUAAUGAUUCUCUCAUCACCGCAGCUGGACCACAACCCAUCAAUGAAAUUCAGUAUACCCGAGAGUGUCAACCUGGAGCUGGAACAGGGAGCUUCAAAGUCUACAUUUUGCUGCCGAUCCUGCAUCUCGACACUGCAAUCAAUAUCUUCAAUCACCAAAAUAGAGCGAUUUGUAGUGGACAACAAAAUCCUUCUCAAAUCAGAAUUAGAAUAGAUACUAGUGAGCUCCAAAUCAUAGAUAUCAAACUUGAGAUAGUUAGCCAUAGCUGCAAUCAAACUAGAUUUCCCAGUCCCGGGAGGCCCAUACAAUAAAUACCCCCGUUUCCAAGCUUUACCCACUUUUUUAUAAAACUCUUUUCUCCUCACAAACAUCUCCAUGUCAUCAAUUAUCAUCUUCUUCAACGCGGAAUCCAUGGCUAUAGUAUCAAAAGUAGCUGGAUGCUCAAGAUUAAUAGAACCCCACAUGCCAACACUCCCAUCCUCAUCGCCCAUUGGACAAUCACGAUUAUAAAGCUUGAUCACCUUCUCUUCCUCUUUGAUGGAAUUAGCUCUAGCCAUAACAAAAGGCAAAUAAGAACCCAUAACUCUGUCCUUAUAUUUCUUGUUGAAUGACAACUCAAAACACCUCUUUUCACCACCGCCUGAAUAGUGGUGGUUGUUGUUUUGCGGCUCGAUGCAAACAUACCUCCAUUUAAGCUUCAUAUCCUCAUAAAAAUCAUUCACUUCUUCUCCUUUUUCGAUAGCGAUAGAGAAAUUCUUCUGCCUGGGGGUCUUACUGACUUUGAGCCUGUCAGUGGAGGGGCUAAUUUUAGUACGGAGGUAGGUUUCGGCGGCGUCGUACACUUGGUUGCGGGUGAUGCCGCUAUACUCGUCGAUGACGAGGGUAAGAUUAGAAGAAAGAGGACUAAAGAGGUGGUGAAUGGCUGAGGAGAGAUAAGAGCGAAGCUCGUAAGGGAUGAAUUCAUUAGCCAUGGAUCGAACCAGCAUGAUGGACGCUGCGAGGGAGGCGUAGACAGAAAACAAUCCGGAGAUUGAUUGAGGCAUGUUUGCUUGAGAAAACAUGGUGCCUGCAAGGUGCUUGAUUCGAGAGAGAAGGACCAGUGAGAAUCCU